rnacentral:rRNA from 1 species
GGACUACUGGGGUAUCUAAUCCUGUUUGAUCCCCUUACUUUCACGCCUCAGCGUCAGGUAUAAGCUAGAAAACCGCCUUCGCCACCGGUGUUCUUCCACAUAUCUACGCAUUUCACCGCUACUUGUGGAAUUCCGUUUUCUCCGCCUACCCUCUAGACUGGGAGUUUCAAAUGCUGUUCCGGGGUUGAGCCCCGGGAUUUCACAUCUGACUUGCCUGUCCGCCUACGCGUCCUUUACGCCCAAUAAAUCCGAUUAAUGCUCGCACCCUCCGUAUUACCGCGGCUGCUGGCAC